AAUCAACGCUGGCGGCGUGCCUAACACAUGCAAGUCGCACGAGAAAGGGACUUCGGUCCUGAGUAAAGUGGCGCACGGGUGAGUAACACGUGACUUAUCUACCCUCGAGUGGGGAAUAACCUAGGGAAACCUGGGCUAAUACCGCAUAACACUUACGAGUCAAAGCAGCAAUGCGCUUGGGGAGGAGGUCGCGGCAGAUUAGCUAGUUGGUGGGGUAAAGGCCUACCAAGGCGAUGAUCUGUAUCCGGCCUGAGAGGGCGCACGGACACACUGGAACUGAAACACGGUCCAGACUCCUACGGGAGGCAGCAGUGGGGAAUUUUGCGCAAUGGGGGAAACCCUGACGCAGCAACGCCGCGUGGAGGAUGAAGUCUCUUGGGACGUAAACUCCUUUCGAUCGGGACGAUAAUGACGGUACCGAUAGAAGAAGCCCCGGCUAACUUCGUGCCAGCCGCCGCCGUAAAAC
rnacentral:rRNA from 1 species